AUGCCCACAGGAGGGUCCCCUCUCCCGAAUGCCAUUGGAGCCCUUGUCAGUUGUGCAUGCCCCCUAAGAAUUAGAAAAAUGCAUCUUCAAAAUAAAAGCUGGCUUCCGACCCCCAUGCACACCAGUGCUCAGGGUUGGGUCAACAAUAAUCUAGAACCAAGGAAGAGUGUACACCGCGUGGAAGGUUUUGUCAUCGUCGCGACUGUGUUUAUGAUCGCCCUUGCCAUUCUCUCGCCCAGGAGGCGUCAAUCUCGGAGCAUCAUUAUAAGAUAUGGAGUGGGCGGAGUGUUUAUAUUAUCCUUCCCACUUCUCUCCUACACUGUGGGACUGAUGCAGGCGGGGAAAAUUAAAAACGAGUUGUACCCGGUGUGGGCAAUGUUUCUGGCCAUGCUUUUUGGAGGCACCCGCUCAAUGUCUGUCCAGAAGCUCGAUCAAAACAAGCAACUCAUGAAGCUCUACUGUGAUUGUCUCUUGUUCACGAUGUGCAGUGCCACGGUAUCAGGUGGUUUUAUUUAUACAUUCGGUAUGAAGCAUAGUUCCAGUCGCCUUGUUCCCAUUGGUUGCUUGUUCGUCGUGGGAUUUCUAUUGGGAAUUAAAACGGCUGAGCAGUUUGGUGCUGCAUUGUUAGCAAGCAAACCAUCAUCGGACAAUGGAAUCAAGUGGCUGGCCCGCUACAUGAAGGGUGAGCACAUACUCAGCACAUCCUACGACCCUCGUACCAUGCAGGGAUACAAGUACCCGGUUCUAAUCCAUUCUGGGCGGGCAACAAUUGGAGAAAAUGCAAUAACACUGGAUAACAUUUGGUGUGACAACAUCGGUAUCUUGUCAUCUUACUAUAGUGCUCCUAUCCGUCGUCUCAAGGAUCUGUGUCUCUCAUUCGCAUUGUUCCAUCUGGUGGUUCGGCGAUACUUUGGCUACACUUGUCCUGAAUCUGGGCUUGACAAGACUCGUGAUCUUGUUCUUGAUGGGCUAUUGCAAAGAGCAUUUCAAGUGAUUGAAGCAGAGUUGGCUUUCCUCUACGAUUUCUUGUUCACCAAAUAUGCCUUCAUAAUGUAUGGCAAUGAGCUAAGGCAAGCCUGUGGAGUUGCCAAUGCAAGUGAAGAGGGCAGUGGCACGGACUAUCAGAAACUCGACAAACGGCCAUCUUUCACAUGGAACCUCCGCACUAAUGAGACACGGCAUGAGUGA
rnacentral:rRNA from 1 species